rnacentral:rRNA from 1 species
UACGGAGGGGGCUAGCGUUGUUCGGAAUUACUGGGCGUAAAGCGCACGUAGGCGGCUUUGCAAGUCAGAGGUGAAAGCCCGGGGCUCAACCCCGGAAUAGCCUUUGAGACUGCAUCGCUAGAAUUGUGGAGAGGUAAGUGGAAUUCCGAGUGUAGAGGUGAAAUUCGUAGAUAUUCGGAAGAACACCAGCGGCGAAGGCGGCGCUCUGGGCCGGAACUGACGCUGAGGAGCGAAAGCGUGGGUAGCAAACAGG